rnacentral:rRNA from 1 species
AGCAGUCGCCGCGGUAAUACGAGGGGGGCAAGCGUUGUUCGGAAUUAUUGGGCGUAAAGGGUGCGUAGGCGGCUUGACAAGUCUUGUGUGAAAUCUAUGGGCUCAACCCAUAGUCUGCACGGGAAACUGUCGGGCUUGAGAAUGGGAGAGGUGAGUGGAAUUUCCGGUGUAGCGGUGAAAUGCGUAGAUAUCGGAAGGAACACCUGUGGCGAAAGCGGCUCACUGGACCAUUUCUGACGCUGAUGCACGAAAGCUAGGGGAGCAAACAGGAUUAGAUACCCCAGUAGUCCCUGUCUCUUAUAC